rnacentral:lncRNA from 1 species
AUGGAAACAUCGGCUCAGAACAUUCCCCUGUCGCUGGAACCCAACCUUCUUGCUUUUCCACCCCUGCAACCGAGAACAGCUGUCCGAGGCCGGGAGAGGCGACAGGUGCAGGACAGCGGCACGGACGGACGGGAGCAGGGGCAGCCACAUCUGAGAUGGAUCCUGAGCGGCCAGAACCCAAGCAGCCCUGAUCGCAGGAGGCCCAGCCACCCCGACCCCCUCCACGGGGCUGGCCCAGAAGCAGAUGCGACACCCAAGUGCACACGCCGACUGCUGCGUGGGCUUUUCCGCCGGGAACGCCUGGGGUGA